rnacentral:lncRNA from 1 species
GUUCGGCAGCGCUGGGGGUUUGCGUUGGAGGCAAUGGAGGAGCCGGGAAGGUAGCAGGUCUUGCACGGGCUGUGCUGCGGUUAGCUCUGGAUGGCAGAUCGCCUGCGAUCAGCAGGGGGUUGCAGUAUAUAUCACUGGAGAGAAUGCAUUGCUGCUGUCUCUAUAUUGCCAGUACUGACGGUGCUUGCUGUGGGUCUGGAUGAAGCGCCCCAUCCAGCACGUUCCCAGCUGCUUACAUGCAGAUUACAACUUCUGCUUGGAAACCAGACUGGACGCUGCCACGUGAAAUCAGUUUUCUCCUAAAGCUGUAUAGGGAACUUGAUAAAUGCAAGGGAACCAGGAGCACCCUGAGCACUGCUUUUGCUUUGCUUCUGAAUGGGUUUGCUACAGUCUCCUACGCUUUCAGGAAGGAGCUGUUUCUGUGACAGGACAGGGCAGGAGAUGGGUUAGCAGGAGGCAGGGGGUGAGGGUGUGUGGUGCAUGAGUAGCGCUGGGGAUGAAAUGGUGGAAGAAGGACGCAAUAGGAAGGGGAAGGGGAAAGGUGGGAAUGUUGGGUCGUAGCUGAGUGUGGGAACUGUGGUAGAUGGGGUGGCUGCUGCUGCUGUAGAAAGAGAGUGGAGUGUUGGCCAUAGAGGCGGGUUUGGUGCAGUACUGCCCACACCACUCUCCUGGCUGUGUCAUCCCUGUAGAACUUGGUUUCCAGGCUGAGGCAGCUCUUUUGUCCCAGUCUCCCAUUCAAGAACUGAAGGAAGAUCUUGGAUCCCUUACCAGUCAUUCCUAGCGCUCAUGUCAAAGGACAUGAAUUAGCAAGCAGUCUAAACUGCUCCUUCCAUCAUACUGCAGAAGAAGACAGGCUGGUCAGGGAUAUCAGCGGCUAUUCAGAGCAGAGAUGAGACAUGGAGGAAGACACAUCUUGAUGAAUUACAGAUCCAGAUGAGAGAACUGAUACUUGACUGUCCUUUACCAUAGCAAAGUCCACAGCUCGCUGCCUUUUACUUGGAUGUGAGAUGAGAACUCCUGCCACGGUUGUUUGACCAACAGAAGGUUAAGAAAGCUCCAGUGCCCUGUGGCACGUACUCAAGAUGCAAUUAAUAAGGCAGCCACUUCAUUUCUUCAAAAAAGAGCUUAUUAAGCCUCAUUUCUAAUGAAACGCAAUAGGUACAGAUUUAACUGCAAGUGGAAAUGUGAAGGAGCACUCUGCACUGCUGGCUGGUUCCCAGUUCUCCCCUUGGCCCUUCUGCUGUGCCUGAGGUCUGCAGGCCUGGCCUCACCUGCGGGCAGCAGUUGCUGGUGGCCAUUUGUACCCGCUCCUGGCCUCAAGUGAAAGAGACACAGCCAGCUCACAACUGUGGGAGUAAUUUGUACGUUUUACUGGACUGCUGCUUCUCUAUUUGGUAUUUGCUCUUUGAUUAGUCUUGCAAUAACAUUCACCGGGAUGGGUGUUUAUCCCGGGCCUCUUCCAAAAACCUCAUGAAUGUUGAGGGACCUUUUCCACUGAGGUCAAAAGACUUUGGGACAGAUCAUAAGGCAUCACUUUAGAACAACUAGUGGACAGAAAGCCUGGGAAACAGGUGUUGGUGUUGCAAAAUGGAACUGUCAAGUCAAAAAACUGGAUCAGAGUGCUUUAUUUAUGUGCAAAACUGAAGGAACUUAAGUGCAUCUGUGGCCUUACACUGAUUUGGUUAAAACAGGGCAAAAAGCACAUGGAAAUUAUUCUGAUGUCAACCCAAAUUGUACCGAUUUCAUGUAAUUCAGUUAGAAAUAAGUUUAUUCUGAGCUACAGAGAGCAAAAUCAAAGACUUCUCAUGGGACUGCAUAGUAAUUUAAGGGAAAUAGCCCAUAUUUGUAUGUAGACAUUUCCUAAUAUUUGUGCUUAGUUGGUGUCAUGUGAAAUCCCACUCCCAGCAUGCAGCAGACAUUUGUAACCAAUUGAGAGACUUCAGAUACUGUUUAGUGUAUAUUUGCAAGAAAUUCGUGGCAAAUUAAUUGCAGAAUAAUUCACAUAAAUUAUUGUUUGGAUAAUUUUGAAUAAUGAAUCAAGCCAGAGAAAAUGACGCAUUAUUACAUAGCUUGUUCAAUCCUAAUAGAAACGUUAAUAAUGCUCAAUAAGGGUAAAAUAAAUUGCACUUACGGAUUGCUUAGCCCUAUCUCAAACCUCCCUGAAGGCAGUGGGAAGACUCCUCCGUGUAUGACACAGGCAGAACACAAAGGAAACAAGAGGAGGGGAGGAUGGACUAGAAGACGGGCUGUGGUAACAAAUGUAUUUCCAAAGCAGAUACAAAUGUCAGUGGGCAGGCAGCAAUUCAUGGAGGGUGGCUGCAAAGUAACCUGCAGUUCUGUCCCUUGAAGAGCCCAAGCCAGAGCCUGCUGAGCUCUGUGCCUAGGACUUGGGCAGCCUGCUUCCAGGGGCUACAGAUUUCUCCAGGGUGGAGGAGGAAGAAAGAAAAUGGCCCUUAGGGUCAUGCACUGUACUGCUGCACAGGACCCUAGUCUCAUUUCUAGCUCUGCCACUGCAGUGCUGGAAAACCUUGAACAAAUCAGACAUUGCUGCAACUCCUGUCUAGCAAAGAUAACAGCUGUGGAAGAGGCACGGACUGAUGGAUGAAAAAUACCCCAUCUUCUGAGAUUUCCAGUGACGGCUGUGACUUGCACAUCUGAAAGAACCUGAAUUAACUCCUCCCUGGCCAGUUCUUUAAAUAGUUUUUUCCCCGUGGGGGAUCAAUUUGCAGCCCUACAACUGGCUGCAUGGAUUCCACAGAGGGAGAGGGUUUCAUCAGCACAAGGACAGGGGCUGAAAUCGCUUCCAGGGUAGAUACGUGGGGAUACUUCGUAGGAGGCCUUCUUAAUCAAGAGCGCAGAUAAAAGUGAAUUGACUGUAGCUGAGUUCACACGUAGGACAAGAAGUUUGCAUUGAUGUUGGUUGUUAAUUAAAAAGAAAAACAAAGAUAUGAUGUUUUUAUUAUGUUAGAGCAUUUGGGUUUCUUGUUAGAAUUCUUUCUGGUUAAUAAACCACCUGCCAGAUUAAAAUGUGAUAAUAAUAAAACCACCGUAGUGUGAUGAUUAAAUACGAUGUGAGGCUGGUUUUAAGUAUGAGUGCUUACAGCACCAGUAAGAGGUACGUGCCUGAAAAAUGUACUAAUCAGUAGGGAGAGAAAUGUCUAGAAAACAAAUAUGUAAGACAGAUAAUGUAAGACAUAAAUGGCUUGAUGAAAUUGGAGCUUGAGAAGAAAUUCUCCUGAGGAGAUGCAGUAUUCUGCUGGGUUC